CCCUUAGAUGUUCUGGGCCGCACGCGCGCUACACUGACUGGUGCAACAAGUGUCGCACCUUGGCCGACAGGCCUGGGCAAUCUUUGAACGCCAGUCGUGAUGGGGAUAGAUUCUUGCAAUUUUUGAUCUUCAACGAGGAAUUCCUAGUAAACGCGAGUCAUCAACUCGCAUUGAUUACGUCCCUGCCCUUUGUACACACCGCCCGUCGCACCUACCGAUUGAAUGGUCCGGUGAACCCUCCGGAUUGGCCCGAGCCGACGCAAGUUGCGCAAGGGCCGAGAAGUUGGGUAAACCUUACCAUUUAGAGGAAGGUGAAGUCGUAACA
rnacentral:rRNA from 1 species